AUGGAGAAAGGAGAGGAAGAGGAGGAGGACAGCCUGGAGCUAAAGGUUGAGAAGGAAAAAGAGCCAGAGGAGGCAGUGGAGGUCCCGGAGGGAGACGCAGAGGUCCCGACCGAGAAGGGGGAUGACUCCGCUGACCAGAAGGAGGCCGAGAGAGGUCUGAUGGAUCCAGAAGGAGCACAUGAGCUCCUGGAGGAGGAGGAAGGGGGGAAAGUGGAUAAGGGUUUCAUUGAUGCCUGCGUUUACGUAAAGGACCGCAUGGAAGAGGUUUCAUCUCCAGAUAAAGAAAUGCGUCAGGUGCUGGUGGUUCUCUACCAGGAGUGGUUCAGGGUGUCCAGUCAGAAAGACUCUCAGGCCGAUACUGUCAGGUUAUACCUGCGGCAAGUGGGACUAACAACCCCUACCCUCUGCCAUAUGUGGUUAACUUGACAGACGGCAACGGGAAUAUGGCUCUCCAUUACAGUGUGUCACACUCCAACUUCUCUGUGGUCAAACUGCUGCUAGACACCGGUGAGGCAUGCACUUAAGGUAGAUUAAUAUCCAGACAUGGAAAGUAACACAGCCUGAGUCUGCAACUCUGUGUUUGUGUUCUCAGGUCUGUGUGAGAUAGACAACGUGAACAAGGCGGGCUACACACCUGUGAUGCUGGCUGCACUGACAGCUGCAGAGAGUCCAGAUGAUCUGGAGGUGGCUCAUCAGCUGCUGAGACUGGGGGACGUGAAUGCACGCUCCAGACAGGUAACACACACACCACACUCUUGCAGUGACACAACCAUCAAACCAGGAUUGUAUUGUUUGCAAUAGGUUUUUGUGUUAACUUGAGAGUUAAAUUUGACUGAGGGACAACUGAAGUUGUUGAAAGUUAUGUAGUUUAAUGUAGGUCACACUGCAAGAAUGAAUUAUCUGUAAACAUAUUUUCCAGAGUAUAAGUCGCACCAUGAGUGUAAGUUUCACCAAAGUAUUAGUCACACCAGAAUUAUAGUAUGGCCAGAGUAUAGAUCGCAUCAGAGAACAGGUCGCACCAAAGUAUUAGCGGCACCAGAGUAGAGAUUGCACAGGAGUGUUUGAUGCAUCAGAGUAUUCAUAGCCACAGAACAUAGGUUGCAGCAGAGUAUUAUACAUCCCAGAGUAUAUAUCGCACUCAGGUAUAGGUUGCACCAGAAAUAUCAGUCACACUGGAUAUUAUUCGUACCAGAGUAUAGAUCCCACCAGAGUAUUAGUCACACCAAAGUAUGAGUAGCACCAGAGUAUUAAUAACACUAUAGAAUUAGUUGCACCGGAGCAGGAGCCGAAAAUUGCACAAUGAAGAAAAGCCUUACAAUAGUUGCUCCGGAGUACAAGUUGCACUUUUGGGAGAAAAGUCCAAUGCUCAUUAACAGAUACACUGAUACUUUUUCAAUACUCUUCAUAUUUGCGUCCUGUGCCUCUUUUGACGCAUAAUGCUUGUCCAAAAAUAUGUUCAGAAACUAGACACUCCCGUCAAAUGUGGAGGAGCAAGCAUCAAGAUUUAGCCUCUUUGCUACAUGGAUGGAUUGACAGAAGACACGGAUGACAUUGAGAGAUCAGCUUUAGUUAUUUUGAAAAGCUUUACUAAAGCAUUGAUUUACAUGACUCCAUGUCAUGAUCUCAUUCAGUUUUUAUUUUAAACAACUCUCUUCACCUUGUAGUGCAAGAGCUUUGUCUGAAUGACGACGCCUUCAGCGGUACUUCCAUCUCGCUGUAACCUAGUAUGAUGACUUGCUCUCCCGCUUUUACACCAGGAAGGAGGAAGUAAAAACCUGAACAAUAAUAUUUUCAUCCAGAUCAGAAAAAUACCAUAAAGUUCAGGAGCAAAAAGAUCAGGUACUCCUCCACAUCUGUUUAUUCUUCCUCUGCGUUCAGCAAACACUGAUGCGCACACUCACAGCGCCCUCUAGUGAUUGUUGUGAAAAAACUACUUAUGG
rnacentral:lncRNA from 1 species